AUUGAACGCUGGCGGCAUGCCUUACACAUGCAAGUCGAACGGUAACAGGUCUCCGGAUGCUGACGAGUGGCGAACGGGUGAGUAAUACAUCGGAACGUGCCUAGUAGUGGGGAAUAACGCUCCGAAAGGAGUGGUAAUACCGCAUGAGACCUUCGGCUGGGAUGCUGGAGGUGAAACCUGGGGACCGAAAGGCCUGGGGCUAGAAGAGGAUCCUGCGUCUGAUUAGCUAGUUGGCGGGGUAAUGGCCCACCAAGGCGACGAUCAGUAGCCGGCCUGAGAGGGUGAUCGGCCACACUGGAACUGAGACACGGUCCAGACUCCUACGGGAGGCAGCAGUGGGGAAUUUUGCGCAAUGGACGAGAGUCUGACGCAGCAACGCCGCGUGGGUGAUGAAGGUCUUCGGACUGUAAAACCCUGUCGUCAGGGACGAAGGUGCUCGUGUUAAUAGCGCGAGUGCUUGACGGUACCUGGAGAGGAAGCCCCGGCUAACUCUGUGCCAGCCGCCGCCGUAA
rnacentral:rRNA from 1 species